AUUCUCUCAUUUUGCCUUCUGGAUCUCCAUGCUCCUUUAUACCAACAAACAAGAGGAAGAAUAUUCUCUCUAUCCACUUCGUUAACUGAAGCCUGCUCUUUUAUGAAGGCAUGGCAUCUCUUCCAACUAUGUCAAACAGAAGAAAUUUAUGGGUAUGCUGCUUCCACACUCUGAUUAAAUGGGGAGAUGCUGCCCUUAUCUAAGAAAACAGCCCCUCUACAGAUAUAGGCAUUCUGUCCUGGGACCUGCGUUAGAACUACUACUAGGCACCCUUCAAUUGAUGUGAAGCCACUCUGGUUACCUUGUCUUAUCCUAGCUCAGACAGAGAACUGAUCAAACAUCUUAUAACCACUGAGAUUGUUGAUGAGUACAAUUGAAGACUCAGGGAGGAAAUAUAGUUCCUUUCAAAUUAAUUAAUUAAAAUUAUAAAUGGACUUCAUGGAAGUGAAAGAGAACUAUUCAUAGAACUAAUAAAAUGUUAUCAAUGCACCCAUUUAAGAAGAAUGUUUGUUACACCUUUGUUCCAGCAGUACAUAUGCCAUAUGUGAAAUCUCAAAGGAGAUUAUCAUUGCCUGCCUGCAGUACAAAAAUAAUCAAAGCACAGUAGUGAAGCAAUAUAGCUUUUGAGACAGACCAAAGUUUGAAUUCUGACUCAGCCUCCUAAUAAUGUUGUAGACUUGGAGAGAUAAUUUUACACCAAGUUUUAGCAUUUUUUUAAAAAAAAAAAACAAUUAUUAAGGUAAUACUGCUUACUUAAUACUUAUAUAAAGAUUAAGAAUAACAUGGAAAAUGCCAAAUACAGUAGCAGAAAUAAAAGGAGCUUUAAGAAGUAGUAACUAUUAGUGCUGUUGACAAGCACACUAUAUGACUCUGAUUUAAACACAGAGAAAGUAAAAAUGGAUACGAAAGCCUCCUGUUCUCAAGGCAAAGAAAAGUUUUGGUCUGAAAUACUGUAGAUAGCACUGAGCAGAGUGAAGAAAAAUGGUUCUAUAUCUCACAUUGUAACAAUGGUCUACUUACAUUUUAUUUAGACUAGAGGCUACUUGCCUUAUCAAAUAUAUCAAGCACUCAGCAAAGUUUAAAAAAGCAUAUAUAAACAUUUCUAUGCUAUGGUUUACUAGUUCAAAUAUAAAUAUUUAAGCUUAACUGCUUCUAUGUAUUUUUCAAUGCAAAGCAAAAUAAAAUCUAGAUAUAGAAAAAUAUUUGCAUUAGCAGUUGUCUUGAGGUAGUAACUUUUAUGCCAUGACAUUUGGAGUCUGACUGGUUAUCGUAAAUUCUGAACAUGUUUAAAUUCUCUUCAAAAAUAUUAUGUAUAUAAUAGGGUUGAUUUAUAUUUUUACAAGUAGUAUUUAAAACAUAAAUCUGUCCUUAUUUCUGAAUAUAAUGCCUAGUUACAAGUAACAUAUAAAACCAGCAUUCAGAUACAUCCCUAAUUAUGUUGAAGAAUUUUUUAUUUAAUCAAACUUGGGUAAUAAAAAAUUUAUCUAUAAUUCAGGAAAAACAUGAAAAUUUUAAAUUCAAAUUUAGAUUACUUUCUGUGAAAACAGAAAUAAUAAACUAUCAAAAUAUCUAUUAAAGUAUUCAUACAAUGAGAAAGUAAUACUGGAAUCUGUAAACCUACUUUUCAUUCUUGAUUAUUUAAAAGUAAUCACCUUAACUCUCAACAGUGGCAAAAUAACAGAUUCAAGGCAUGUGUUAAGUAUAACAACUUUCAUGUUUUUGAAAUCUACAUGAUUAAAAGUUUAUUGAAAGAGACAUUGAAUGUAAAGUUUUAUUCUGAGGUGAAUGUUUCUAGCUAAUGUCAGACUACCUAUACCCUUCUGAAAAACACUUACAGCAUAUGACUUUGGCAGUAUAAUUGAGUGCUUCUAUAAUAAGUCUCAAGUAAUUGGAAUAUUAAAUUUCUGUCAUGUGCUUACAGUAAAGAGCACAUUGUAAUAAUCAUUAAAAACUUAGAUCAUAAAAAUUAAAAUUUAAGGUUAAACUCUAUAGCUGUUUCUAGGUACUGAAGUUUUCAAAAGGUGUUAAGUGGUGUUCUAGGAUCAUUACUAUGGGUUACUAAAUUGCAACAUUCUUUUGAAGCAAUUAUUAAGGGGUAAGAGUUAAUUUGUUACAAUGAACAAUAUUUUCAUUUCCUAAAAAUUGUUGAAUCUGUCCAUUAAUGCAAAAAGAAAACCAGAUUGGAGGCUUUGGGAGAGAAUAUUAUACAUGUUGUGAGACAAAUUCAUCUUACUCUUCUGAGUCUUUAUAAAUAAUCACUUUGUAACAAAGACAUCAAAUUCUCAUGUCUAUGCCCAUGGAGUUCAUAAAAAAUUAUGAAAUUCCAUUAAAAUUCAGUAGGAAUUUUAGAAUCAGAUCAGCUAUCCUGUUAGGUAAAGAAAAUUGAUGUUGAUAACCUGAACAGCAUAUGAGAUCUAGAAUAAUAUACCAAAAGAGGUUUCUUUCCUCUUCAUAUAUUUUCCUCAUGUCUGUUGGAAUGUGGAAUGGAAACAGAUUCUACUAACAAACCUAAAAUUUGAUCAAAUUCCUAUAUCAUCCAUUUGACAACUUUGAUAUUUUAAUUACUCUUUUAACACAAACAUUUCAUUUCUAUCUUUUCCCAGGAUCUACAAUUAGAAACUUAUAUCAAAGAUGGAAUUAUUGGGUAAGAUUAAAAUAGCAUUCAAUUCUAGAGAAUGAGAAUUGAAUAUUUAAAUGAAAUCUCUAGCAAUAGGAAAGAGAACUUAUCACCUAGUUAAAAUAAACUGGUAAGUAAAUUAGCUGGAAUCUUGUUACUGUAGUCCUAUGACAUAAAUACAUAAAUGAUGAUAGAUGGUAAAUAGAUAGACAGAUAGAUAGAGAUGAUGUUAAUAGGAGUCUUCUAUGUCUCCUGAGAUCUUAGUAAGAAUGUUUAAAAAAUCCAAUUUAAUAUUUGUUGAAAUUACUAACCCCUCAACACACAAUUUGACAUUGCACAUUAGACAUUCGUGUUCCCAAAAUUUUCUUUAAUUGUAGCCCUGUUCCUUUUCCAUAUUCUUUUCCCCAAUGAUUUUCUCAGGAAAAAUGACCAGAACAUUAUUUUAUCUUCUCUUGCCAUCCUUGUACCUCUGUUGUCAAAUCAUAUCUCCAAGCAACUCACUAAUGCAUUUUUUCAAAGAUAUUUGUUUCCUCCCUGAGAAAUGUCAUGGUGCCAGCUAUAAAGAUAAUUAAUUUAAAUAUUAUAUAACUAAAUAAAUAUCCACGUUGAUA